AGCGAAUGUGCCUUGAUCUUCAGAAACAGGCACACGUUCUUGAAAAGAGUUACUCAUCUGUUGCAAAAUUUCCGGCCGUUGCACGAAAGAUUCGAGAAGCCGCAUUCGAAGCCAAGUCCCAUCAGAUGUUAGCACGUGGCGUUGUUAAAAGUAUCGGGAUGACUUCAAGAAAUAUCUACGCAGCAAUGAUUCCCAUUGUUUUGAAAGCUAUAUUAGAAAAGGAUGAAGAACUAAUAUCGAAAGCAAUAGCAACGACGGUAGGUUUUAUAAAAGACGCAGAAAAGAAAACUAGAGACCUAAGCGAACGGUAACACAUUAAAGUGAUAUUAAUACCUUCUAAAUAUCAUAUAUUUGAUAAUUUAACGUGUGUUGUUCACUUAUAAUAUUUUUUUAAUGAUCUGU